rnacentral:rRNA from 1 species
AGCCCAUAAGCUAGCUCGCACCUCAAAAUACAACAACUCACUAUUAAUAACCCCUAACUAAACCAAAAGCACUUUAGCCAAAUCAUUUUACCCCCCUAGUAUGGGCGACAGAAAAGGACACAUCGAAGCAAUAGCAAAAGUACCGUAAGGGAACGCUGAAAGAGAAGUGAAACAACCCAGUAAAGCUAAAAAAAGCAGAGCUAGACCCUCGUACCUUUUGCAUCAUGAUUUAGCAAGAAAACAUCAAGCAAAGAGUAUUUUAGUUUGAUUUCCCGAAACCAAGUGAGCUACUCCAAGACAGCCUCUAAGGGCACACCCGUCUCUGUGGCAAAAGAGUGGGAAGAUCUUCGAGUAGGGGUGACAGACCUACCGAACUUGGUUAUAGCUGGUUGCCCAGGAAGUGAAUAGGAGUUCAGCCUUUUGUCCCCUCUCCGCACAUUAAUCGAUUCCAUCCUCGAAGCGCCUGAGUAAGACAAUAGAGUUAGUCAAAGGGGGUACAGCCCCUUUGAAAGAGAUACAACUUUACCAGAAGGGUUAAGAUCAUAACUCUUUAUAAGGGAAUGUGUUCUAGUUGGCCUAAGAGCAGCCACCCAUACAGAAAGCGUUAAAGCUCAAACACCUCCCCUCCCCUAUUAUCCAGACCACACAAUCUUAUCCCCCUUAACACACUGAGCCCUCCCAUACCCCUAUGGGAGAGAUUAUGCUAAAAUGAGUAAUAAGAGACCCUUGAAUCUCUCCCUGCACAAGUGUACAUCGGAACGAACCAACACCGAAAACUAACGGCCCCAAGAACAGAGGGCACUGAAAUAUAAUGACCAACCACGAGAAAACCAUCCACCUCGUAAAACCGUUAAUCUUACACUAGCGUGCCUACAAGGAAAGACUAAAAGAAAAAGAAGGAACUCGGCA